UUAAAUGUAGCUCAAUGGUAGAGCAUUCGCUUUGCAUGUGAAAGGCCCUGGUUUCGAUCCCUAGCUUCUCUAAA